AUAUAUCCUAAAAGGAAAAGGAAAAGGAAAUAAUAAUUAUUAUUAUUAUUGUUAUUAUGUGAGUCUAUAAAUAGCAUUAGAAUGCUUAAGAUGGAAAUAAAGGAAAAAGAAAAAGGUUCUUUAUCUUCUUCUCUAAGAUAACCCUCUGUUGUCGCCGCCUCAGUUAAAGUUAAGAUUGGUCUCUUUGGAAGCUUGAGGAUUUAAAGUGAUGAAUUUUUCAUCAAGGAUAAGAGGAUUUUCCAACCUCCAUCUGAGUAACCUUGGAUCAAGUUAAUUGGAGAAUUUUUACUGUCAACUAGGAACUACCUUUGUUUGGCUAAAAUCUCCAGGCGAAGGUAAAGGUAGAGGAAAGCUGGCGAGCGACAGAGAAGGAUCCGUGACAUGCCAUAUGGGGACUCAGUUUUGCUUCCGCGUUUAUGUUUCAGUGUUUUAAUAUUCCAUUUUUAAUGAAAAUUUAUUCUUCCCUCGUUUCAAAAAAAGUGUCUC